rnacentral:tRNA from 1 species
AAGAAAUUAGUUUAUUCAAAACGUUAAUUUGUCAAAUUAAAAAUAUUAGUAAUAUUUCUUA